GUUUUGUAUAAAUUCAGCGACCACGACUUUUCAAGGCAGUACCGAAGGAAUUUCUAUACGAACAAUUGAGUUUCCCUUGCGAAGCCUGUACGCUAUACAAUGAAAAUCGCGAUAUUCAUCUACGUCAUCCUAAUAGCGAUUGCUAUUGUUACUUGCGAUACCGCUCAAGCAACAUGCCAACAACAGCUGGAAAAUUGUCAAAUAUCUGACGACUGCUGUCCAGGUCUUGUUUGCUCUACGUACGCAGCUAAGUGUGUAGCCAAUAGCGCUGGAGAAGUUAUAAACCCCAUCGGAGACGCAGUUACUUACGUUCCGUAAAACACGACAGGGUUCAUAACAUUGUAAUAAGAUAAACAUAUAUUAAUAUAAUUUGUUUUUAUCUUUCGACAUAUCAUUCUCUACUAUAUUGAUUUUCAAACUUUUCGGAACAUAAUCCAAAAAAAAAGAAAAAACUUUCGCAUCCAAAAUUGAUAUAUGUACAAAGUACUUCUGUUACGUUUUAUUAAAUUGAUUCAAAAUUACGUUGCUUUUAUCGAAAAACUAGUUUACAAAUAAAUUCAAAAUGUUUAUUCGUUAUUCGUUAAUAAAAUUUGUCCAGCCCUGGUCGACAGUCAAUACAGCUUUUACGUUGUAUUGUUUAAAUAAAGUUUAGAAAUUAAAUUGUAAGAAUUAUCUCUAAAUUAAUUUUUGAUGUAAGUUUAUUCAAAUCUAUCUACUUCUUUUUAUGAACUCUAUAGGAUGAUUAAGUUUACGCCUAUAACAAUAAAUGUAAACUCUGUAUAAGAAUAAUGUAAUACACCAUUGUACGAUUUAACUACAACUACGCCAAGAUGCUAGGUCUGAACACAAUCAAUGACUCUGAUCGAUACUCAACAAUUGUGAUUGAAUAGAAUUCAUUGUCUGUCGGUCGCUGAAGGUCGAUUUUCUCAUUGUGAUUCACAUCAGACUCGAUUUCUACCUUUACACUACGACUCUUCUUUGUUUGAGAGACAGAGUGUGCUCUUGCAGGUUUACAAGGAAGAGAAGAAAAAUAAAUAAUUAUGUUGUGUCGCCCAAAACAACAAAUUCAUUUUAAUCUAAUGGUAAAUACAAAUCAAUAACUUUUAAUAUUUGUCGUUGGAAAUAAAAUAAAUAAACAUUUUUUAUUAGGGAUGAAGAAGCUCAAUUAACUAAGAGUAUAUGUUUUAUUGCAUUAUAAAAUUGUAUUACGAACCUUUGAUAAUACAGCAUUAAGGAUGAUAAAGAAGUAUCUUGGUCGAAUCAAAUUAAGAGUAUAUGCGAAAUGUGUAAAUUAGAAAAAGUUUUAUGUGAUUUGGAUGUAUGUAUAAUAAUAAGUAAAUAAUCCUUUUGUAUACAUUCAAUGAGUGAGAUAUGUCGAAACGAAAAUAAACAGUUGCAAAUUCUAAAAAGUACAAGCGAAACAAGAACGAUACAGUUAAAUGAACCAGAAUAUGUAAUUAAUAAAAUACAGGGAAGACAC